GACGUAGGAUGCAAGCGUUGUCCGGAUUUAUUGGGCGUAAAGAGUUCGUAGGUGGUUUGUUAAGUCGUGAUGUUAAAGACUGGGGCUCAACCUCGGAAAUGCAUUGGAUACUGGCAGACUUGAGUGCAGUAGAGGCAAGCGGAAUUCCAGGUGUAGCGGUGAAAUGCGUAGAUAUCUGGAAGAACACCGGUGGCGCAAGCGGCUUGCUGGGCUGUAACUGACACUGAGGAACGAAAGCUAGGGGAGCAAAUGGG
rnacentral:rRNA from 1 species